UUGCUUUGGCAGCACAUAUACUAAAAUUGGAAUGAUACAGAGAAGAUUAGCAUGGCCCCUGCCAAGGAUGACACCAAAAUUCAUGAAAUGUUCCAUAUUUUU
rnacentral:snRNA from 1 species